GCUUACGGCCAUACCAACCUGGCUAUGCCCGAUCUCGUCUGAUCUCGGAAGCUAAGCAGGUUUGGGCCUGGUUAGUACUUGGAUGAAGACCGCCUGGGAAUACCAGGUGCUGUGAGCU
rnacentral:rRNA from 1 species